AUUGAACGCUGGCGACAUGCCUAACACAUGCAAGUCGAACGGCAGCACGGGGGCUUGCACCUGCUGGCGAUUGGCGAACGGGUGAGUAAUACAUCGGAACAUGUUCCCUAGUGGGGUAUAGUCCGGCCAAAGCCGCAUUACUACCGCAUACGAAUUUCGUGUAAAAGCGUGGGCCCUUGUGGCCUCGGGCUUUUGGGUUGGUCAAUGGCUGAUUAGCUAGUCAGUGGGUUAAAGGCCUACCAAGGCGUCGACCAGUAGCUGGUCUGAGAGCGCGACCAGCCACACUGGGACUGAGACACGGCCCCGACUCCUACAGGAGGCAGCAGUGGAGAAUUUUGGACGAUGGGGGAAAGCCUGAUACAGCAAUGCCGCGUGUGUGAAGAAGGCGUUCGGGUUGUAAAGCACUUUUGUCCGGAAAGAAAUCAUUGGCCCUAAUACGGUCGGAGGAUGACGGUACCGGAAGAAUAAGCACCGGCUAACUACGUG
rnacentral:rRNA from 1 species